rnacentral:lncRNA from 1 species
GGGCGUUCUGUUUGGGCGCUCUCGGCUGCUGGCCCCUCCGAGCCUUUCCACGCGUGGUGAGCAGCCAGGCCUUAGGACUAGAGUUUGUAAUCGACUGUGACAGGAUGGCGAAGGUUCCCCAGACUUGAGACUACGUGUUUUCGCAGGUGGAAUUUCCCCUCCAGAGUUGGGAAUUCUCGUUUUGCCCUGAUAAGAGAAACCUGUUCUGAGAAAUGGAAACCUAUGCCAUUGGCAGUCAGCAUGAGGUGAUCUACGUCAUCAGUCACAUCUAGGGGUUGGGCUUAUGGCUUUUGCCUUUAUAAGCCUGCUGCUUUGCAAUAAAAUUGAACCUUGAUCAGAA